GCAACGAGGGGGAGGGGGCGGGGGUGGGACGUGGGGGGGAGGGGUUGGCCGGAGUUAUUUGGGGUAAAGAGCACGUAGGCGGUUAGGUAAGGCAGGUGUAAAAACUCCAGGCUCAACUUGGAGAGGCCACCUGAUACUGCCGUGACUAGAGUCCGGUAGAGGAGCACGGAAUUCCUGGUGUAGCGGUGAAAGGCGCAGAUAUCAGGAGGAACACCAGCGGCGAAGGCGGUGCUCUGGGCCGGAACUGACGCUGAGGAGCGAAAGCGUGGGGAGCGAACAGGAUUAGAUACCCGGGUAGUC
rnacentral:rRNA from 1 species